rnacentral:tRNA from 1 species
CGUGCGAAUCGCCGGCAGCGCUUAGCGCCUGGUUCGGGACCAGGGGGUCGCAGGUUCAAAUCCUGUCUCCCCGA